GGCGCAGUCGCACAAUGGCUUGGUGCAACGGGCCGUUAACCCGUCGGGAGAGAUCCCCGUGUAGGUUCGAUUCCUACCUGCGUCG
rnacentral:tRNA from 1 species